GUUGGGGAAGUGGAGUAAUCCCCUGUGUCAAGUGCCACGAAUGGGUCAAGGAAGGUAAGGCUUGAAAGUUGACCUCCGGCACUGGGCUGUGCAGUAGAAAUGGACACAACGCUGUAAAUCAACUAUAGUGGCAGAAAGGAAAUAUGAAUAAAACCUACCUUAUAUUAAAAAAAAUUGAUCUUUGGCUUUGGAAGCAUGGAGGUCACUGGGAAGGUGGCGGUCGCAGGGGAGCAGAGAGGGGAUUGAUGACUGUGAUAUGGAGACGGACUAUGGCAGCGAAAGCCUGAUCACAGUGGGCUCAACAGAGGAUCAUGGCAGAAACUGGAGACUCCUUUUUGCAAACACUAGAAGAAAAGAAAGAGAACGGAAUGAGACCUGGGAACCUCCAUAUGCCGCGGGAGCGGCCCAAGAAAUAGCAAAAAAUAAAAUAAAAAAAGUUCAAAUUUUUAGAUGAGGUGUUCCCAUUGUGUCUCAGUGGAAACGAAUCUCACUAGCAUCCACGAAAACGCAGGUUCGAUCCCUGCCCUAGUUCAGUGGGUUAAGGAUCUGGCGUUGCCAUGAGCUGUGGGGUAGGCCGGCAGCUACAGCUCCGAUUCAGCCCCUAGCCUAGGAACCUCCAUAUGCUGCAGAAGCGACCCUAGAAAAGGCAAAAAGACAAAAAAAGCCUAUUGGUUGCAAAAAUAGCACAUGGUAGUUGUAAGGAAAAAAACCUUCUCAAACAUUAAAAGUUCAAAAUGAGUACACCUCUAUCCGCUCACCCUCCCCAGAAGCCUAGCCACUGUCAACGUCUCCUUGCAUUUUCUUACAGGCUUUACUUGUUUGCCUGUACAUAGGCUUGAUUUUCCUUCCUUUUUUUCUUUUUACACAAACGGGGUUGUAGUACGCAUAUGGUUCUGUGUCCCUUUUUUCUUCACUGAAUAUCACAUCUCAAAGGGUUUCUGUGUGGAUACGUACAGAUCUACUCUCUGCUUUUUAUCAGCUGUUCCAUUGAAGGAGCCACCAUGGUUGAUUUAUCCAAUGUCUGUUGAUAAAUUAUCAAGAGCAUAUAACAAUUAUAAUUAUUUACUCAGAUCAGAGCACCUAAAUAAAUAUAUAAGGCAAUAUUUACAGAUCUGAAGGCAGAACUAGAUGGCAAUAAAAUAAUAGGAAAGGACUUCAAUACCUGCUUUCAACAACAGAUAGAUUAUCUGGACAGAAAAAUCAAUAAGGAAACAUGGGGCUUAAGUUAUACUUUUGACCAGUCGGCCCUAACACACAUAUAAAGAGCAUUCCAUCCAAGAGCAGCAGAAUACACAUACUUAUCAAGUGUACAUGGAGCACAGUCCAAAAUAGAUCAUAUUAGGUCCUGAAACAUCUUAAUAUAUUUGAGAAGACUGAAAUCAUACGAGGCGUCUUUUUGGAUCAUAAUGAUAUGACACUAGAAACCAAUUAUAAGAAGAUACCUGGAAAAUUCACAAAUAUGUGGACAUUAAACAACUUGCUCCUGAAUAACCAAUGGCUCAGAGAAGUCAAAGGGGAAAGAAAAAAA
rnacentral:lncRNA from 1 species